GUACUCUCACACUCUCCGAUUUGGGGAGCGGUGGACUUGGGUGCUUGCUGCUUUCCUUGUGGCUCACCUUAAAUGCAUCAGUGCAUCUCUUGGUUGGACAUAGUACGGCGUGAUAAGUGUCUUCGCCGGCGCCUCAUAAGAGGGUGGCCAACUGGGGCUCUGUGCUUUCAAACCGUCUUCGGACAAUAUCUGACA
rnacentral:misc_RNA from 1 species